UACGUAGGGAGCAAGCGUUGUCCGGAAUCAUUGGGCGUAAAGCGCGCGUAGGCGGCCCUGUAAGUCCGUUGUGAAAGUCAAAGGCUCAACCUUUGAAAGCCGAUGGAUACUGCAGGGCUAGAGUCCGGAAGAGGCGAGUGGAAUUCCUGGUGUAGCGGUGGAAUGCGCAGAUAUCAGGAGGAACACCAAUAGCGAAGGCAGCUCGCUGGGACGGUACUGAUGCUGAGACGCGAAAGCGUGGGGAGCGAACAGG
rnacentral:rRNA from 1 species